AGCGAACGCUGGCGGCAGGCCUAACACAUGCAAGUCGAACGAACAUUUCGGGGUUUGUGGCGGACGGGUGAGUAACAAGUGGGAACGUGCCUUUAGGUUCGGAAUAAUUCAGGGAAACUUGUGCUAAUACCGAUUGUGCUCUUCGGGGGUAAGAGUUAUCGCCUUUAGAGCGGCCCGCGUCUGAUUAGCUAGUUGGUUGAGGUCAUGGCUCACCAAGGCGACGAUGAGUAGCUGGUCUGUGCGGAUGAUCCGCCACAUUGGGACUGAGACACGGUCCACACUCCUACGGGGGGGAGCAGUGGGGAAUCUAGCGCAAUGAGCGAUAGCCUGACGCAGCCAUGCCGGGUGAAUGAUGAAGGUCUUAGGAUUGUGAAAUUCUUUCUCCGGAGGCGUUAAUGACGGUACCCGGAGAAGAAGCCCCGGCUAACUUCGUG
rnacentral:rRNA from 1 species